AUGGCUGUGUUGGCUGGAGAGAGGGUCACUAUGAGCUGCAAGUCCAGUCAGAAUCUUUUAUACAGUUCAAACCAAAAGAACUACUUGGCCUGGUACCAGCAGAAACCAGGACAGUCUCCUAAACUUCUGAUAUACUGGGCAUCCACUAGAGAAUCUGGGGUCCCCAAUCGCUUCACAGGCAGUGGAUCUGGGACAGAUUUCACUCUCACUAUCAACAGUGUGCAGGCUGAAGACCUGGCAGUUUAUUACUGUCUGCAAUAUUACAAUUUUCCCACAGUGUUUCAGCCUCCUACAAAAACCUCCUUGAGAGUCUCAUCAGCUGCCUGCGUAACACAAUGCCCUAGAUCUGCACAUUUCCUCCUUCUACAUGAGAGCCAGCAUGCCUGA